UAAGUAGACCAGGUAAUCGCGGAAGAAGAAUAAUUUCUUUCGAGGAAAGUCCGAGCUCCGCAGGGCAAAGUGCUGGGUAACCCCCAGUGAGGGUGACCUCAAGGAAAGUGCUACAGAAAAUACACAGCCCGGCAAUCAAAUUUGUGCGCUGGGUAAAGGUGAAAAGGCAGGGUAAGAGCCUACCAGUUGUUAGGUGACUAACAAGCUUAGUAAACCCCACUUGGAGCAAGACCAAAUAGGAAGAGUUGUGGUGGCCCGCUGAAUCUUCGGGUAGGUCGCAAGAGGUGUAAGGUAACUUACAUCCCAGAUAGAUGAUUACCACCCUUAUUAGUUAGUUACUUGGUUAGAUGGUUAAAUUCGCAUCUUGCAACUUGUAUUUUACACUAACGACUAACGACUAUUCACUAACAACUAACUUAUAAGGGAACAGAACUCGGCUUAUGGUCUACUUAUAAG
rnacentral:RNase_P_RNA from 1 species